GCCUGCUCCCUCUGCCCUGGCUCCGCCCUGCGGCCCGGGACGCCGGCCUGGGGCCUGACCCCGGAGAGCUGCCCCUGCCUGGCCGCCAGCACAGGCCAGUGUCGGAUGGGCCACUGGUGUCCCGUCUGCUGUGGAGGGGGCAGCGGCCGUUCCUGAGGGCCUCCCUGGUCGGCAGAGGGAGCCGAGGGGACCAGCGUUCUCGGGGGGCCAGGACAGCGGGGCCACCAGCCUCGGGCCGCCUUUGCCUCAAAGCCCCCGAGGCCUUGCUUCCUUUCCAUCCCAGAGCAUCCAGACUCCUGAAGCCCCAGAUUCAGAGGCGUCUUUCCAAAGGGGCCGGAACCAGUCAACACUCAGAGGGCCCUUCAGUGCUGAAGUUGUCUGGGAGAGACCCCUCCCGAGCACCCCUGCCACUUUCUCCUCUUCCUUCUGGCUGUACCACUAGAUUGUAUCUCCCAGCCUCCUUUGUGGUUAGGCAAGACCAUGGGACUAAGUUGUGGACAGUGGAAUGUGGGCAUUAUGUGAUGUAGGUGGCUUCCAGGCCCGGCCCACAGACCCUCAGGGCCGUACUCCAGGGAGACUUGGGUCCAAGGGGCAGUUAGGACCUCCAGACAGAAGAAGCCUACAGUGAACGUUUUCACCAGCCCAGGAUUGUCCUCACCCCCACUUCCUGCCAUGGUUGCAGACUUCACAUGAGUGAGAAAUGGAGUUUCGCUGUCUUAAGCCACAGAGACUUUGAGGGUUACUUGUCGCAGCAUCUGGUGUUCUGUGCUUACACUAGUUCUCCUGGGACGGGGUCUCAUACUUUCACGUGGGCAAAGAAGACACUCGUCAAAGCCUGGAAGUGACCACCAGCCAUGGCUCCCUUGUUGGCCAGAGGGGCAGGCUCCCCCAGACCAGGGGUCAGGCCCCGACUCCUGUAACACAGAACAGGCUUGAUUAGGAAGGAGCCACAGCUUGAGGGGGGCCACACUGGGACCGCUCCUUUCUUGCUUCUUCAAGUAUAACCUCCAAUUACAUUAAGAGUGAAUUUUCAUCAGGGACCUGGGGAUUUUGAAGUGACUUUCGGAUGUUCUGGAGCCUUCCCUUCAGAGUUCACUGGGCUGGGCCCCUUUUCCCAGAGCACUCUGGGAAGAUCCUUCCCUGAGUAGAGGAGCAG
rnacentral:lncRNA from 12 species